rnacentral:rRNA from 1 species
UACGGAGGGUGCAAGCGUUAUCCGGAUUUACUGGGUUUAAAGGGCGUGUAGGCGGUUAGUUAAGUCUGGCGUGAAAGCUCUCGGCUAAACCGGGAGAGGUCGUUGGAUACUGGCUGACUAGAGGACGGUAGAGGCGUGUGGAAUUCCGGGUGUAGUGGUGAAAUGCGUAGAGAUCCGGAGGAACACCAGUGGCGAAGGCGACACGCUGGGCCGUACCUGACGCUAAAGCGCGACAGCAUGGGGAGCAAACGGG